CCCCCCCCGCCGCGCGCGCACGCCUGACGUCAGCGGCCAGCGUGAGUCACGCGCGCAGGGAGAGCGCGAGGCGGCCUCUUCCUCCCCCCCUUCCUCCUCCGGCCCGGCCCAGACCGGUUCCAACCUGCUAGGGCCGGUCCCAACUGCCUACAACUGCCACCAACCUCUGGUCGGGCUGUGGGGCGGGAAACUCGGUCCUGGCGGCCGAGUGGUGAAGGCGGGAGCUCGGGAUGUAGAGUGCAGUCUCCCCAGGCCAGGUCUUCGAGGCCUAACUGUUCCUCUGACCAUAAAACCACAGUAGUAGGCUCCUUUGGGGCAGUGAGAAGUCCAAGACACAACCGAGACGAGUUCCAUGGGCCCCAGCCCCAGAACCCACCUAUGAAUGAUGAUUAGCGUGAAGUCCUGUCAGGAGAUUCCAUGCAGUUUGCACAGGAUGCCUUUUGUGUCCCCAAGGCUCGUAGGUUGUCCACGAGGGCCACCCUUGCUUGAAUUCACUCUCGACGUAGAUAAACAUGCAAAGAUGAAAACGUGUCAGUGCGUGCCCAUGACCGUUUCCCUCGCGGGCUGUGCGGAGCCUGAGUCUGGGAGCCCGACGGUGAUGGGUUCCGAGUAUGUCUGCAGGCUCAGCAGAAAUGUGGCAUUAGAGGGAUGCCCAAAUACUGACACUACAAGAGUCCAGCAGGAUGGGAAAACCUCUUCCUGGAAGUCUGCAUCUGUGUGUGUGCUUUUUAGGUCGCUGUCUUCGUUUCCUUCAAGCCACCUUAAGCAUUCCCUACAGUUAGGUGAUGGUGAAGACAGAUGAAUAAGGGGCAGUUUCUCCUGUUAAGCAAAAUGUUGCUUUCCAUUUUCCCUGCUGCUCUGUGAAUGCCUUUCAUCCCCAUGUGCUCCUGAAUGAUGUGCAUGUUUAAAAGGAUCCCCACCUGCGAGAGGUUUUGGAACCUGGGGGAUUGAACAGCAGCUCUUAAGUUCAGUGAACGAAGAGCAUAAUCAUCUGUUGGAGUGGAAAGAACUCAAAGUAGGAGGAACUCUGGCUUGUUAUAGAACUAUGUUAGAUACUAAAGAAGGCUUCCCCACAACCCAUAUGCAUCUGCUUUGACUGGUGGUUUCUGUCAUCCUACAAAGACUGUGACUUAUUGGUGAGGGCAGCUGAACAACUCUGAGAGCAACUUAGAGAAAUCCAUCUUGGGCACACUCUAUAAAGGAGCUCCUUCUCUGCAAAUAGCACCCCAGAUAAGUCCACAAAAUCAAGAUACCCUCGUGGACCUACACGUCCUCCCGCUUUUCAACACCCUGAUGCCUGAAGUGUGUAGAAUUUGACAGCAGUAUCGAGCUGAGGAGGACAAGAUGGAAAGGAGUCUAUCAAUUUAAAAAUCUCACAGCGUUCUCUGUGAGGUGACCUUUUUUCCUGUUGGUGGCUCAAUUUAUUUAGGACAUAAAGAAGAUACUUAGCAAAAUCAUGUUCAAGAAAGUGUUAUAUUGGCAAAGCAAUCCAAUAAAAUAAGCUACCUAAGAUGCAAAAAAAAAGAAGAUACUGAGGCCUGUGACAGCCUGUGACAGUAUCAUCAAGUAGUAUCUGAACUUACUGAACUGGUUCCUCCCCUUCCUUAUUCUUUAUUCAUAGUUUGCUUUUCAUGUGCAUAAGUUGACUCACUUGUUUUCUUUUAGCAUUUGAAACACCAUAUAGCCACCAUAAGUCCUGACAAAAUGACUUCUAAUGAUGGGGAAGGCCCAUGUCCCAUGGUCCUGUGAAACUUUGGCCUAUUUGCAAAUCUACCCCCACAUAAGAGAAGUAGUUGUGUUCUGUAAAGAAAAUGUUGACAAAAGCCUUUAGCAUGUUUUGUGACUAAAAAAACCUUUACGUGUUUUGUGACUUAGAAAUUUUAAAAGUCAUUCUUUACAUUUUUUUUUUUUUUGAGAUGGAGUUUCGCUCUUGUUACCCAGGCUGGAGUGCAAUGGCGUGAUCUCGGCUCACUGCAAUCUCCGCCUCCUGGGUUCAGGCAAUUCUCCUGCCUCAGCCUCCUGAGUAGCUGGGAUUACAGGCACGUGCCACUGUGCCCAGCUAAUUUUUUGUAUUUUUAGUAGAGGCGGGGUUUCACCAUGUUGACCAGGAUGGUCUCGAUCUCUUGACCUCGUGAUCCACCCGCCUCGGCCUCCCAAAGUGCUGGGAUUACAGGCUUGAGCCACCGCGCCCGGCCAAAGUCGUUCUUAUAUCUAAGGAUUUAUUAAUUUUGUUAAGAACCUUACUGUAUCUUUUUGAUGUCACUUUUACUGUAAAGAAGUGCCAAGCAUUUGGCGGUCUGCCACUUUAGGAUUUGUGUGAAUCCGACCAUCUAAAUAUAAUAUAAAUUAGAGACUAAUACUUGUAUUUUCUGAUUAAAAUCAAACUAACCUCUGUUUCACUAUUGAAGUAAGAGUACUUUAGAAUGAAUACAAAAAAUAUAUAUUAAAUAUCCAGUAGAGCAUGCUAAAGUGAACAUUUCUGUUUUUAUUUCAGUAACUUACUUUAUGGUAUUGUAGUUACGGCCUGUCUGAAACUCUCCAACAUAUUCUAAACAGCUUUCAGAGAGUCACUGAGGUUUAUUUCCUGCUACUCUUGUAUUUUCCUUUAACUCAGUUAAGAAAUGCUUAGUUAACAGUCAACAUGGUGGUUAAAAGUACUGACUCCAGGGUCAUACCACCUUCAUUUGAGGCCCAGCUCUGUCAGUUACUAGUUGUAGGAUCUUGGGCAGUGACUUACCUCUUUGUGUAUCAGUUUCCUGAGAGUAGGAAGACUACCUGUCUCGUGGGGUUGUUAAGAGGAUGAAAUAAAUGAGUUAAUUUAUGUAAAGUGCUUAAAGUAGUGCUUGGCGCGUAGGAUAGUGUAGAUACUGUUCUCAGCCAUUAUUUGAACAGGGCCCUAGUCACUGCUUUCAGUUGCAUUGCUCCUUGCUUUAACAGCCCUGACCAAAUGCCUUCUUUAGCUGCAUCCACACUGAAAUAGAGUCUUCAGUUUCUAGGGCACGCAUGGGGCAGCAGCAUGGGGCACCCACUCAGUUUAGGUCCAAAUACUUUGUUGUACAGAAAACAGUGUACAAAGAACAUGUUAGUUUAAACAUAUUACUAAAGUGUCAUAGAACUGGAGGUUUUCCAGGCUAGCUGCUUACAGAAAAACUAUGGUUUUUUUGUUUUGUUUUUGAGACAGGGUCCCGCUGUGUUGCCUAGGCUGGAGUGCAGUGGUGCGAUCUUGGCUCACCGCAACCUCCGCCUCUUGGGUUCAAGUGAUUCUAGUGCCUCAGCUUCCCAAGUAGCUGAGGUUACAGGCACAUGCCACCAUGCCCAGCUAAUUUUUGUGUUUUUAGUAGAGAUGGGGUUUCACCAUGUUGGCCAGGCUGGUCUCAAACUUCUGAUCUCAAGUAAUCUGCCCAUCUUGGCCUUCCAAAGUGCUGGGAUUACAGGCAUGAACCACCAUGCCUGGCCAGAAAAACUUUGAAUAAAGUCAAGGUAUUCUCUGAUUUGGGGAAGAAUGAAUGGGAGUUUUUAAUAGUCUCGAAUAUUCUCUGACACAAGUGAUGCGAGUGACCCUUACAUGAACCUUCCUGUUUCACCAGCUCUAGGCCCCAUAGGGUAAGGGGACAAUUAUAGAAAGAAGGGACUUAGGGACACACAGGACCAGUUGCAUACCCUUUCUGGCUCUUGUUAGUUUUUGGGGCCAGGGCAGCUCACAGGUGUCAGAAUGUUCCAGUGAGCCCCACUGAAAAGUGGGCUGAAAUAAUUGGCCAGUGAUUGGCUCCCCCACCAUAAACACUGACUUGCUUGAGUGCCCAUAGCACUUGAACUGUGGGUUGUUGUCUGUGUGCGUGUGUGCAUAGAUGUGGUAGGGAGUUUCAUUGCAUCUAGGAGCUUCAUAUCGGCCGUAAAAUCAUACUGUAUUUACUCUGACUAAAGGCCAGUGCGGGAUCAAAGACUACCUAAAAGGUUCAGAAACACUUAGAAAUUCGCUAGACACUUAUUUUAUUUGCCUGAAUAAUACUCCCUGAGCUUGCUUUUUCUGCCAGAGAGAAUGUUCUAAAUCAGGAUCCCUUUAGAAGAUUUGGAAGUCACAUCUCUAUAACUGAGUAGUGUGUCAGAUCCAUCCAAAUAUUUACCUACCACCAAUUAUAGCUUUAUUUGGCCUUAUUUUUAUUUUUUUAUUUUUAUAAGACGGGGUUUCACCAUGUUGGUCAGGCUGGUCUUGAACUCCCGACCUCAGGUGAUCCGCCCUCCUUGGCCUCCCAGAGUGCUGGGAUUACAGGCGUGAGCCACAGCGCCUGGCCGGCCUUAUUUUUUUAAAGCUUUUUUUUUUUUUCUCUUUUUUUGGAGAUACGGUCUGGCUCUGUCACCCAGGCCGGAAUGCAGUAACGUAAUCAAAGCUCACUGCAGCCUUGAACUCCUGGGCUCAAAUGAUCCUCUCACUUUAGCCUCCUAAGUAGCUGGGACUGCAUGCAUGUACCACCACACCUGACUAGUUUUUUAUUUUUAAAGUUGUUUUGUGAAGUUGGGUCUUACUGUGUUGCCAGGCUGAUCUCGAACUUCUGGCCUCAAGCAGUCCUCCUGCCUCUGCUUCCCAAAGUGCUGGGACUGAGACACCACACCCAGCCUAAACUAAAAGCCAUUUUUAGUAACUCCCACCAAUGUGGUUACUGUUACAAAGUUGUAUGGUUUCUGGGUCAUGUUUGGUGUCAGAAUAUGUAUGUAUAUCCUUAUAAAUAUCAAAUGUAGAACUGAUAGUAGUUUACCCAUCAGAUUUUCAAAAAUAAGGGAAGAUUUUUAGCAGUUUGUAAGAAAUAUAGGCGUACUCAUAUAUACAUAUAAAUAAUUUAGAAUUCUAAUCUAUAGCACAUAUGCUCUUACAGUAUUCUCUUUGAAGGUAAAACAUUUUAUUCUCAAAGAAUAAGUUUAAGUUGUUAAGCCAUGAAUUAUGACCACAGUGACUAUGUUUCUUUGUAGGAGUUAUGUGUUGGGGAAGGAAAGAAGUAGCUAGCAGGGUUAACAUGGAAAACAGGAGAUUACAGAGAAGCGUCAUCUGAGCCUUUAGUCACUACGAAUAAUUGUCAACAGUGACUGGGGUUUUUUUGGUGCUAGUUGCAGAAUCCUAUCUUAUUGUGGUUAGAUUUCAAUAAAGAAUGUUUAAGAUCAGGACUAUGUCUGGCUUUUUAAGAUUCCAUAUUCAUGUUAAAGCUUGUGUAUAUUUGUUUUUUGUUUUUGUUUUUGAGAUGGAGUUUCACUCUGUCUCCCAGGCUGGAGUGCAGUGGUGCGAUCUUGGCUCACUGCAACCUCUGCUUCCCAGGCUCAAGCAGUUCUCUGCCUCUGCCUCCCGAGUAGCUGGGACUACAGGCAUGUGCCACCACACCCAGGUAAUUUUUGUAUUUUUUGUAGAGACAGGAUUUCGCCGUGUUGGCCAGACUGGUCUCGAACUCCUGACCUUAGGUGAUCCACCUGCCCCAGCCUCUCAGAGUGCUGGAUUACAGGCGUUAGCCACUGCACGUGGCUGAAUCCUUCCUUUAAUUUUUGAUCAGGGUUGGGUGUGUUGGCUCAUGCCUGUAAUCCCAGCACUUUGGGAGGCUGAAGCCGACGGAUCACUUAAGGUCAGGAGUUUGAGACCAGCCUGGCUAACAUGGUGAAAUGCUGUCUCUACUAAAAAUACAAAAAUUAGCUGGGCAUGGUGGUGCACACCUAUAAUCUUAGCUAUUUGGGAGGCUGAGGCAUGAGAUUUGCUCGAACCUGGAGGGUGGUGGUUGCAGUGAGCUGAGAUUGCACCACUGUACUUUAGCCUGGGUAACAGAGACUGUCUCAAAAAAAAAAAAAAAAAAAAAGGAUCAGGAUAUAUUCCCUGUCGAGUUGUCAUUAACAUUUUGUUUUUUGAGAUGGAGUCUUGCUCUGUCGCCCAGGCUGGAGCAACCUCUGCCUCCUAUGUUCAAGCUAUUCUCUUGCCUCAGUCUUCCCAGUAGCUGGGAUUACAGUCAUGUGCCAUCACACCCUGCUAAUUUUUUUUUUUUUAGACAGAGUUUUCUCUUGUUGCCUAGGCUGGAGUGCAAUGGCACAAUCUCAGCUCACCACAACCUCUGCUUCCCAGGUUCAAGUGAUUCUCCCACCUCAGCCUCCUGAGUAGCUGGCAUUACAGACAUGCGCCACCACAUCUGGCUAAUUUUUUGUAUUUUUAGUAGAGAUGGGUUUUCACUAUGUUGGUCUCAAUCUCCUGACCUCAGAUGAUCUGCCCACCUCAGCCUCCCAGAGUGCUGGGAUUACAGGCAUGAGCCACUGCACCUGGCCUAAUUUUCAUCUUUUUAAUAGAGAUAGGGUUUUGUGGUCUCCAACUCUUGACCUCAGGUGAUCUGCCUACCUCAGCCUUCAAAAAGGCUGGGGUUAUAGGCACGCACCACCACAUUACACCUCAUUUAAUUUUUGUAUUUUUAGUAGAGACAGGAUUUUGCCAUGUUGAUUAGGCUGAUUUCAAACUCCUGGUCUCAGUUGAUCCACUUGCCUCGGCCUCCGAAAGUGCUGGGAUUACAGGCAUGAGCCACCACGCCUGGUUGGUACCCAGCUUCUGCCAGUAGUCAUCAUGAUACCCAUUGGUUGUUGGAGGAAAUAGAAACAGCAAUUAAUCUGUAGUGACUGUGCACGGUGGCUCAUGCCUGUAAUCCCAGCAGUUUGGGAGGCUAAAGUGGGUGGAUUGCUUGAGGUAAGGAGUUUGAGACUAGCCUGGGCAACAUGGCGAAACCUCAUGUUAGCUGGGUGGGGUGGCAGGUGCCUGUAGUCCCAGCUACUUGGGAGGCUGAGGUAGGAGGAUUACUUGAGCCUAGGAGGCUGCAGUGACCUGUAAUUGUACCACAGGACUCCAGCCUGGGUGAUAGAAUGAGACCCUUUUUCAAAAAAAACCUGUAAUGGUCUCUGCACAUUCCUAGCACCAAUGACAAAAGAGGAGCCACAUGCCAGCAAUCCCCUUGGUUGCUUUUCUAUUCUGUGUGUGAGACAGAAGAUCUCAAUUUUAGUGUACAGGUGAGGAACAAAGCUGAGCAGACAUGGUAUGGAAGAGAGAGCUUACUGAUUUAAUUGCCAGGAGAAGUGUCUAAGUCAGAGGUUGGAGUUGCUUCUCUGUGUUUUACUCGGUUUGUGCAGAGCUGCUUUGUACCAGGCUUGUACCACUUGGGAUGCUCUUUGCUUUUCCUUUCACUUUCACACAUCUUGAGCACCUGCUGUGGGUCAGCUCUGUGCAGGGGUACAAAGAUGAUAGAUGCAGCAGAGUAUAAAACAGUCAGAAUCCACUGAGGUAGCUGCACCAGGUAUAUUCACAUAAUACAGUAGGAACAUGGAAGAGGGGGCAGGCAGGGCCAGGUAACCCUCAGGGUGAUCUAGACCCAGGGAACAACAUGAUCCAAAGUAUGAAGAUGUAAGGGUGUGACGUGAUGGGGCAUACCAACUGUUGAGAGCUGAGGUCACUUGUAAUUCCAGCGCUUAGCAGAGGCCAGAGAAUGGCUUGAGCCCAGGAGUUGCAUGCUCAGGCAAAAUAGGGAGACCCCUUUCUUCACAAAAA